GACGAACGCUGGCGGCGUGCUUAACACAUGCAAGUCGAACGGAAAGGCCCUGCUUUUGUGGGGUGCUCGAGUGGCGAACGGGGGAGUAACACGUGAGUAACCUGCCCUUGACUUUGGGAUAACUUCAGGGAACUGGGGCUAAUACCGGAUAGGAGCUCCUGCUGCAUGGUGGGGGUUGGAAAGUUUCGGCGGUUGGGGAUGGACUCGCGGGGUAUCAGCUUGUUGGUGGGGUAGUGGCUUACCAAGGCUUUGACGGGUAGCCGGCCUGAGAGGGUGACCGGCCACACUGGGACUGAGAGACGGCCGAGACUCCUACGGGAGGCAGCAGUGGGGAAGAUUGCACAAUGGGCGGAAGCCUGAUGCAGCAACGCCGCGUGCGGGAUGACGGCCUUCGGGUUGUAAACCGCUUUCGCCUGUGACGAAGCGUGAGUGACGGUAAUGUGUAAAGAAGCACCGGCUAACUACGUG
rnacentral:rRNA from 1 species